UACGAAGGGGGCUAGCGUUGUUCGGAAUUACUGGGCGUAAAACGCGCGCAGGCGGUUCUCCAAGUCAGUGGUGAAAGCCCGGAGCUCAACUCCGGAACUGCCAUUGAAACUGUUGAACUUGAGGACGAGAGAGGUGAGUGGAAUUCCCAGUGUAGAGGUGAAAUUCGUAGAUAUUGGGAAGAACACCGGUGGCGAAGGCGGCUCACUGGCUCGUAUCUGACGCUCAGGCGCGAUAGCGUGGGGAUCAAACAGG
rnacentral:rRNA from 1 species